ACCCCACAAAUUAAGCCGACAUUUGAAAAUAUACUUUGUUCAAGUGUGGUUCAUAGUGGGAACAUGAAUGCAGUUAUGUGUAGGGUUGUGACCUAAUCUAUAGUCAACAUCCCAAGGAAAUACUGGGACA
rfam:Folsomia candida strain VT population Fcan01_Sc006, whole genome shotgun sequence.